rnacentral:rRNA from 1 species
GACAUGCGAGUCGAGCGUCUCUAGUUAUGGUGAGACGCGGCAGACGGCUCAGUAACACGUGGCUAACCUACCCUCAGGACAGGGACAAACCCGGGAAACUGGGGCUAAUACCCGAUAGGCGAGGGCGCCUGGAAUGGUUCUUCACCCAAAGGGCUUUGGAAGCAUGCUUUUCAAAGUUGCCUGGGGAUGGGGCCGCGUCCGAUCAGGUUGUUGGUGAGGUAACGGCUCACCAAGCCUAUAACCGGUACGGGCCGUGAGAGCGGUAGCCCGGAGAUGGGCACUGAGACAAGGGCCCAGGCCCUACGGGGCGCAGCAGUCGCGAAAACUCCGCAAUGCACGAAAGUGUGACGGGGCUACCCCGAGUGCCGUCCGCUGAGGAUGGCUUUUCCUCGGUGUAACCAGCCGAGGGAAUAAGGAGAGGGCAAGACUGGUGUCAGCCGCCGCGGUAAUACCAGCUCUCCGAGUGGUAGGGAUGAUUAUUGGGCUUAAAGCGUCCGUAGCCGGCUUGGCGAGUCUCCUGUUAAAUUCAGCGACCUAAUCGUUGACCCGCGGGAGAUACUACUAGGCUAGGAGGCGGGAGAGGCCGACGGUACUUCCGGGGUAGGGGUGAAAUCCUAUAAUCCCGGGAGGACCACCAGUGGCGAAGGCUGUCGGCUAGAACGCGCUCGACGGUGAGGGACGAAAGCUGGGGUAGCGAACCGGAUUAGAUACCCGGGUAGUCCCAGCUGUAAACUAUGCGGGCUAGGUGUUGGGGUGGCUACGAGCCACUUCAGUGCCGCAGGUAAGCCAUUAAGCCCGCCGCCUGGGGAGUACGGCCGCAAGGCU